rnacentral:rRNA from 1 species
GACCUCGGAUCAGGAGGAACCCG